rnacentral:rRNA from 1 species
UACGUAGGUGGCAAGCGUUGUCCGGAAUUAUUGGGCGUAAAGCGCGCGCAGGUGGUUCCUUAAGUCUGAUGUGAAAGCCCACGGCUCAACCGUGGAGGGUCAUUGGAAACUGGGGAACUUGAGUGCAGAAGAGGAAAGUGGAAUUCCAAGUGUAGCGGUGAAAUGCGUAGAGAUUUGGAGGAACACCAGUGGCGAAGGCGGCAUCCUGGACCAACACUGACACUGAGGAGCGAAAGCCAGGGGAGCAAACGGG